rnacentral:rRNA from 1 species
AAACUUUCAACAAUGGAUCUCUUGGCUCUCGCAUCGAUGAAGAACGCAGCGAAAUGCGAUAGGUAAUAUGAAUUGCAGAAUUCCGUGAAUCAUCAAAUUUUUGAACGCAAAUUGCACUUCUUGAUAUUCCGAGGAGUACACAUGCUUGAGGGUCAGUU